GAUGAACGCUGGCGGCGUGCUUAAUACAUGCAAGUCGAGCGAACAGAUAAGGAGCUUGCUCCUUUGACGUUAGCGGCGGACGGGUGAGUAACACGUGGGUAACCUACCUAUAAGAUUGGGAUAACUUCGGGAAACCGGAGCUAAUACCGGAUAACAUUUGGAACCGCAUGGUUCUAAAGUGAAAGAUGGUUUUGCUAUCGCUUAUAGAUGGACCCGCGCCGUAUUAGCUAGUUGGUAAGGUAACGGCUUACCGAGGCGACGAUACGUAGCCGACCUGAGGAGGUGAUCGGCCAAACUGGAACUGAGACACGGGCCAGACUCCGACGGGAGGAAGCAGUAGGGAAUCUUCCUCAAUGGGCGAAAGCCUGACGGAGCAAGGCCGCGUGAGUGAUGAAGGGUUUCGGCUCGUAAAACUCUUUUAUUAGGGAAGAACAAAUGUGUAAGUAACUGUGCACGUCUUGACGGUACCUAAUCAGAAAGCCACGGCUAACUACGUGCCAGCAGCCGCCGUAA
rnacentral:rRNA from 1 species